UACGGGGGGGCAAGCGUUGUUCGGAAUUACUGGGCGUAAAGGGCUCGUAGGUGGCCAACUAAGUCAUACGUGAAAUCCCUCGGCUUAACCGGGGAACUGCGUCUGAUACUGGAUGGCUUGAGGUUGGGAGAGGGAUGCGGAAUUCCAGGUGUAGCGGUGAAAUGCGUAGAUAUCUGGAGGAACACCGGUGGCGAAGGCGGCAUCCUGGACCAAUUCUGACACUGAGGAGCGAA
rnacentral:rRNA from 1 species